CCUAGGUCGAUGCUCAACUGCUGAGCCACACUGGCCGGGCUGGCUUCACUUCUAAUGCUGAUCACUCCCAGGUGAAGGUGCAGAGAAGCAGCGACUCUAACCUGUAGCUGAAGGAAGUAACAAAGAUGUAGCUAAAAAGCACUUUCCCCUGUCCUGAGUUUGUAAGCUUGGAAGAAGAUGGUAAUCAACAUACCAGGUCGUGGAAGUAUUUCUGGUUCAUUUCACUUGGUAUGGGUGAGGCCAUCUUUACUGUUUUAAAUGACUGAUCUGUGACGCUCCAGUGCCAUCCUCCUUCCUAGGAGCUAAAGGAGCACUAUGAUAGCAUGUUCUUUGAAAUUUUGGAUGGAUAAGGAAUAUUUAAAACAGCAAGUAUGAGGGAAAUGAUAUGUUACUGCCUUGGAUGGUGCUUGUGAAAUUCCUGUUUACCUUCCUGCUGGGUUUUCUGUGUCCAAAAUUAAUUAUUGUGAAAAUUUUAUAUCAAUACUGUCACUCAUGACUAUACAGUGUCAAACCUUUCUA